AUUUUAAUUUUGUGAAUAUUAGCCUAAUAUAAAUCAUCAUAUCGGUAGGGGCUAACAACAAGAAAGCCAAACUUUUAGCAAAUUUGCAACAUAAUCCAAUGAUUUCAAUUUUGGUAGUUUGGGCCAAUUUCAGCAAUUAGUUGUAAUUUUAUUCAAUUGACCAAAAUUGAAAUAAAUACUAUAUAAAAAACAAAAAUUGUAUACAAUGUAAACAACCAAAAAAAUGAAAUUGUUACUUCUUUAUUUUCCAAUUAUUUUUCGCAUUAAUUUUUAUUUCAAUUUUUCACAAUUUUGGUCAACUGAAUAAAAAUGCCAAAAUUCAGUUAAAUUAAAUUUAAAAUUCACGAAAAACUUUAAAUUUCUUCUUUUGUCAUUAGGCCUAUCGUGAGCAAUUUUGGCCAAUAAAAUGAGUGAGAAUUGGAAUGUACACGUGUAAAGAUUAUAUAGUCAUCUUAAGAGGCAGAAAAAUAUGGUUAUUGGUUACUAUACAUUUCAAAUGUUGACAAUACAAAAUAUUUUUUUCCCUUUUUUCCUUUGUAAAAUAUUUUUAUCUAAUAAAUAUUAUUAGAAAUGUUUUAAAUGAAAAAUAACAAAA
rnacentral:misc_RNA from 1 species